CUGCAUCCCAAAACCAGUCCAACCUGUCUCUGCCUCCCUAACCUGUUCUUCCUCUCAGCCAUCCCUUCCUCCCACCCCAAGCCGCACCCCCAGCUACCUACUAACCUCAUCCCACCUCCUUGACCUGUCCGUCUUCCCUGGACUGACCUUUUCUCUCCUCUCCACCUUCGGUCCGCCUCCCCCUCUCUCCCUAUUUAUUCCAGUUCCCUCUCCCCGUCCCCCUCUCUGAUGAAGGGUCUAGGCCCGAAACGUCAGCUUUUGUGCUCCUGAGAUGCUGCUUGGCCUGCUGUGCUCAUCCAGCCUCACAUUUUAUUAUUUUAGGAGAGAGAGCUGUUUUGGUUUGUGAUACAAGAGACGAGGCUGUCUAUGCCUUUCACCCAUCGGUAGCUCUCCUCCUGUCCCUGCCUCUGUGCACACACUCUGCCAGGCAUAGUCUUCCUCCCUCUGUGUGUGUGUGUGUGUGUGUCUCUCUCUCGCUUCAGCUCCUAAAACCUAAGAUGCAUCGGAUAUAAAAACACGCACAUAAACACACACACACACACACACACACACACACAUCAACAAGCCAUGGAGAAAGAUCAGGAAUUACUGCAAGCUGUCAAAACCGAAGAUGUAGCUGCAAUGCAGAAGCUGUUGCAAAGGCCGAAACAAGGCAAAGCGAGACACAAUCAUCGCCUUGGAAGCUUCAUCACGAUAUUACUUUGCAUUUCUGAAGAGGGAAGAAGAAAUCAACAUGAAAAUUCAAUUCCAUGGUUUUGGAAGUCCCAUUGAGAACACGAUUCAUUUGCGCCGGCAUAAUGCUCUGACCGAGAAAGAAUUGAAGUUUCCACUUGGAAGAAAGAUUCACAUCAAAUUGACUGGUCAAGGAAAUGGGACACUGACUAACCAUACGAUGAGACUGUUUUGAUGAGAAAUUUAAAGAUUACGUGUCCCAUCCGUUUGACUCACAGUUUGGUACCAUAGGUUGGUACGAUCUUCGUUCGAGAAGGAAAAGGGAUGUUCCAGAUACAGAAAACCGUCAAACCAUUUACAACAAAGUCCAUUUCUGAACCAUACGAUGAGACUGUUUUGAUGAGGAAUUGAAAGAUUAUGUGUCCCAUCCAUUUGACUCACAGUUUGGUACCAUAGGUUGGUACGAUCUUCGUUCGAGCAGGAAAAGGGAUGUUCCAGAUACAGAAAAUCGUCAAACCAUUUACGACAAAGUCCGUUUCUGGACACAAUCAUCGCCUUGGAAGCUUCAUCACGAUACUACUUUGCAUUUCUGAAGAGGGAAGAAGAAAUCAACAUGAAAAUUCAAUUCCAUGGUUUUGGAAGUCCCAUUGAGAACACGAUUCAUUUGCGCCGGCACAAUGCUCUGACCGAGAAAGAAUUGAAGUUUCCACUUGGAAGAAAGAUUCACAUCAAAUUGACUGGUGAAGGAAAUGGGACACUGACUAACCAUACGAUGAGACUGUUUUGAUGAGGAAUUGAAAGAUUAUGUGUCCCAUCCGUUUGACUCACAGUUUGGUACCAUAGGUUGGUACGAUCUUCGUUCGAGAAGGAAAAGGGAUGUUCCAGAUACAGAAAAUCGUCAAACCAUUUACUACAAAGUCCGUUUCUGGGUGGAGUUAGUGGAACCGAAAAAGAUGUCUCCCUCACAGAGUUUGUGACAAAAGAAUUGCAUCGUUCCUUGGCGGCCUUUCAACAGAAGAAUAUUCAGAGAUUUCCCGAGUGGU